GUGAACAUGAUUAAGUAGUGUAGAAACAAAUCAUGGCUUGACCAGCAUCGUCUUUCUCCUCCUUUUCAGGAAUGCAAGAAGGUGGCCUCUGAUGAUAGAUCCUCAAAGUCAGGCUAAUAAAUGGAUCAAGAACAUGGAAAAAGCCAAUAGUCUUUAUGUGAUUAAACUUAGUGAACCUGACUAUGUCAGGACUCUGGAAAAUUGCAUCCAGUUUGGUACUCCUGAGACAGGAGCUCGCCAUGUUGCCUAGGCUGGUCUUGAACUCCUGGACUCAAGCAAUCCUCCUGCCUCGUCCUCUCAAAGUGCUGGAAUUACAGGCAUGAGCCACUGUGCCUGGCCUUUGUGUCAUUUUUCUAUCAAUCUAUAUACUGUUGUUGCUAGAAAAUGUUGGCGAAGAACUAGAUCCUAUUUUGGAACCUCUUCUACUAAAACAAACCUUUAAGCAGGGUGGGAGUACAUGUAUCCGGCUUGGGGACUCCACAAUUGAAUAUGCACCUGACUUCCGCUUCUAUAUUACUACCAAGUUAAGAAAUCCUCAUUAUCUUCCUGAAACAUCAGUAAAGGUAACAUUAUUAAACUUCAUGAUAACCCCUGAGGGAAUGCAAGAUCAGCUUCUGGGAAUUGUGGUGGCACAAGAAAGGCCAGACCUUGAAGAAGAAAAGCAAGCCUUGAUAUUACAAGGAGCUGAAAAUAAA
rnacentral:lncRNA from 10 species